rnacentral:rRNA from 1 species
UAGGGAAUCUUCCGCAAUGGGCGAAAGCCUGACGGAGCAACGCCGCGUGAGUGAUGAAGGUCUUCGGAUCGUAAAACUCUGUUAUUAGGGAAGAACAAAUGUGUAAGUAACUAUGCACGUCUUGACGGUACCUAAUCAGAAAGCCACGGCUAACUACGUGCCAGCAGCCGCGGUAAUACGUAGGUGGCAAGCGUUAUCCGGAAUUAUUGGGCGUAAAGCGCGCGUAGGCGGUUUUUUAAGUCUGAUGUGAAAGCCCAUGGCUCAACCGUGGAGGGUCAUUGGAAACUGGAAAACUUGAGUGCAGAAGAGGAAAGUGGAAUUCCAUGUGUAGCGGUGAAAUGCGCAGAGAUAUGGAGGAACACCAGUGGCGAAGGCGACUUUCUGGUCUGUAACUGACGCUGAUGUGCGAAAGCGUGGGGAUCAAACAGG